ACACACACACAACAUAUUGGUAACAGAUUAAAUACACCAUAUAAUACUCAGUUACAGACUUCCAAACACCUGGCCGAUUGAAAUUCGUCGCCUGCCAAGGCCUGCACCAUCAUCAUCACGAGCUCCAGGAACAGGAGAAUUUUAUGAUAUGAGACCAGAAAUUCAAGCAAUACAUGGAAGAAUACAUCAUCUAGCUUUGGAAAUGCA